UCCCUGGUUGAUCCUGCCAGUAGUCAUAUGCUUGUCUCAAAGAUUAAGCCAUGCAUGUCUCAGUGCAUGCCGAAUUAAGGUGAAACCGCGAAUGGCUCAUUAAAUCAGUUAUGGUUCCUUAGAUCGUACCCACAUUUACUUGGAUAACUGUGGUAAUUCUAGAGCUAAUACAUGCAAACCAGAGUUCCGACCAGAGAUGGAAGGAACGCUUUUAUUAGAUCAAAACCAAUCGGUGGCGGGUUCACUCGUCCACUGUUUACCUUGGUGACUCUGAAUAACUUUGUGCUGAUCGCACGGUCUCGCACCGGCGACGCAUCUUUCAAAUGUCUGCCUUAUCAACUGUCGAUGGUAGGUUCUGCGCCUACCAUGGUUGUAACGGGUAACGGGGAAUCAGGGUUCGAUUCCGGAGAGGGAGCCUGAGAAACGGCUACCACAUCCAAGGAAGGCAGCAGGCGCGCAAAUUACCCACUCCCGGCACGGGGAGGUAGUGACGAAAAAUAACGAUACGGGACUCAUCCGAGGCCCCGUAAUCGGAAUGAGUACACUUUAAAUCCUUUAACGAG
rnacentral:ncRNA from 1 species